UCCCCAGACUCCUACGGGAGGCAGCAGUGGGGAAUAUUGCACAAUGGGCGAAAGCCUGAUGCAGCAACGCCGCGUGAAGGAAGACGGUUUUCGGAUUGUAAACUUCUGUUCUUAGUGAAGAAUAAUGACGGUAACUAAGGAGCAAGCCACGGCUAACUACGUGCCAGCAGCCGCGGUAAUACGUAGGUGGCACGCGUUGUCCGGAAUUACUGGGUGUAAAGGGAGCGUAGGCGGGAAGCCAAGUCAGCUGUGAAAACUACGGGCGUAACCUGUAGACUGCAGUUGAAACUGGCUUUCUUGAGUGAAGUAGAGGUUGGCGGAAUUCCGAGUGUAGCGGUGAAAUGCGUAGAUAUUCGGAGGAACACCGGUGGCGAAGGCGGCCAACUGGGCUUUAACUGACGCUGAUGCUCGAAAGUGUGGGGAGCAAACAGGAUUAGAUACCCGGUAC
rnacentral:rRNA from 1 species